rnacentral:rRNA from 1 species
CACGUAGGAGGCGAGCGUUGUCCGGAAUCAUUGGGCGUAAAGAGCGCGCAGGCGGCUUGGCAAGUCGGGUGUGAAAUCCCGGGGCUCAACCCCGGGACUGCAUUCGAUACUGUCAGGCUAGAGGUAGGUAGGGGAGAUCGGAAUUCCUGGUGUAGCGGUGAAAUGCGCAGAUAUCAGGAAGAACACCCGUGGCUAAGGCGGUUCUCUAGUACGGUACUGACGCUGAGACGCGAAAGCGUGGGGAGCGAACAGG